rnacentral:tRNA from 1 species
GCAGUGGUGGUUCAGUGGUAGAGCUCUCACCUUCCAUGCGGGAGACUUGGGUUCGAUUCCCUGCCAACGCA